UAUGCAUGACCCUUUGAACUCGACUAAGUAGGUCCACAGCCUCUGGCGCCAGAAAACCAAAAGUAUCAAAAGCAAAUGGGAUAAACACGUGUUGGUUGUCAAGGCACGCUUUCUCAUGUUUGAAAUACCAGCGCACCUGAAUAUGUCAAAAAGGACAUCCCUAACCAAAUCAUGUCGGUAUUUGAACCCCGGGAACUCUCUACAAUGA
rnacentral:lncRNA from 1 species